AGAGUUUGAUCAUGGCUCAGAGUGAACGCUGGCGGCAGGCCUAACACAUGCAAGUCGAGCGGCAGCGCGGGGGCAACCCUGGCGGCGAGCGGCGGACGGGUGAGGAAUGCGUCGGAAUCUGCCUCUUUGUGGGGGAUAACGUAGGGAAACUUACGCUAAUACCGCAUACGACCUACGGGUGAAAGUGGGGGACCUUCGGGCCUCACGCAGAGAGAUGAGCCGACGCCGGAUUAGCUAGUUGGCGGGGUAAAGGCCCACCAAGGCGACGAUCCGUAGCUGGUCUGAGAGGAUGAUCAGCCACACUGGAACUGAGACACGGUCCAGACUCCUACGGGAGGCAGCAGUGGGGAAUAUUGGACAAUGGGCGCAAGCCUGAUCCAGCCAUGGCCGCGUGUGUGAAGAAGGCCUUCGGGUUGUAAAGCACUUUUGUCCGGAAAGAAAAGCUUCCGAUUAAUACUCGGGAGUCAUGACGGUACCGGAAGAAUAAGCACCGGCUAACUUCGUGCCAGCAGCCGCGGUAAUACGAAGGGUGCAAGCGUUACUCGGAAUUACUGGGCGUAAAGCGUGCGUAGGUGGUUCGUUAAGUCUGAUGUGAAAGCCCUGGGCUCAACCUGGGAAUGGCAUUGGAUACUGGCGACCUAGAGUGCGGUAGAGGGUGGCGGAAUUCCCGGUGUAGCAGUGAAAUGCGUAGAUAUCGGGAGGAACAUCCGUGGCGAAGGCGGCCACCUGGACCAGCACUGACACUGAGGCACGAAAGC
rnacentral:rRNA from 1 species